rnacentral:rRNA from 1 species
ACCUGAUCCAGCAAUGCCGCGAGAGUGAUGAAGGCCUUCGGGUUGUAAAGCUCUUUCGCACGCGACGAUGAUGACGGUAGCGUGAGAAGAAGCCCCGACUAACUUCGUGCCAGCAGCCGCGGUAAUACGAAGGGGGCUAGCGUUGUUCGGAAUUACUGGGCGUAAAGGGCGCGUAGGCGGUCCCUCAAGUCAGGCGUGAAAGCCCCGGGCUCAACCUGGGAACCGCGCUUGAGACUGAUGGGCUAGAGUUCGGGAGAGGAUGGUGGAAUUCCCAGUGUAGAGGUGAAAUUCGUAGAUAUUGGGAAGAACACCGAUGGCGAAGGCAGCCAUCUGGACCGACACUGACGCUGAGGCGCGAAAGCGUGGGGAGCAAACAGGAUUAGAUACCCUGGUAGUCCACGCCGUAAACGAUGAGUGCUAGACGUCGGGGCUCUUGGAGCUUCGGUGUCGCAGCUAACGCAUUAAGCACUCCGCUUGGGGAGUACGGCCGCAAGGUUA